rnacentral:rRNA from 1 species
ACUUUCAACAACGGAUCUCUUGGUUCUGGCAUCGAUGAAGAACGCAGCAAAAUGCGAUAAGUAAUGUGAAUUGCAGAAUUCAGUGAAUCAUCGAAUCUUUGAACGCACAUUGCGCCCGCCAGUAUUCUGGCGGGCAUGCCUGUUCGAGCGUCAUUUCAACCCUCAAGCCCCCGGGUUUGGUGUUGGGGAUCGGCGAGCCCUUGCGGCAAGCCGGCCCCGAAAUCUAGUGGCGGUCUCGCUGCAGCUUCCAUUGCGUAGUAGUAAAACCCUCGCAACUGGUACGCGGCGCGGCCAAGCCGUUAAACCCCCAACUUCUGAAUGUUGACCUCGGAUCAGGUAGGAAUACCCGCUGAACUUAAGCAUAUCAAUAAGCGGAGGAAAAGAAACCAACAGGGAUUGCCCUAGUAACGGCGAGUGAAGCGGCAACAGCUCAAAUUUGAAAUCUGGCUCUCGGGCCCGAGUUGUAAUUUGUAGAGGAUACUUUUGAUGCGGUGCCUUCCGAGUUCCCUGGAACGGGACGCCAUAGAGGGUGAGAGCCCCGUCUGGUUGGAUGCCAAAUCUCUGUAAAGUUCCUUCGACGAGUCGAGUAGUUUGGGAAUGCUGCUCUAAAUGGGAGGUAUAUGUCUUCUAAAGCUAAAUACCGGCCAGAGACCGAUAGCGCACAAGUAGAGUGAUCGAAAGAUGAAAAGCACUUUGAAAAGAGAGUUAAAAAGUACGUGAAAUUGUUGAAAGGGAAGCGUUUAUGACCAGACUUGGCUUGGUUAAUCAUCUGGGGUUCUCCCCAGUGCACUUUUCCAGUCCAGGCCAGCAUCAGUUUUCCCCGGGGGAUAAAGACUUCGGGAAUGUGGCUCUCUUCGGGGAGUGUUAUAGCCCGUUGUGUAAUACCCUGGGGGGGACUGAGGUUCGCGCAUCUGCAAGGAUGCUGGCGUAAUGGUCAUCAACGACCCGUCUUGAAACACGGACCAAGGAGUCGUCUUCGUAUGCGAGUGUUCGGGUGUCAAACCCCUACGCGUAAUGAAAGUGAACGCAGGUGAGAGCUUCGGCGCAUCAUCGACCGAUCCUGAUGUUCUCGGAUGGAUUUGAGUAAGAGCAUACGGGGCCGGACCCGAAAGAAGGUGAACUAUGCCUGUAUAGGGUGAAGCCAGAGGAAACUCUGGUGGAGGCUCGCAGCGGUUCUGACGUGCAAAUCGAUCGUCAAAUAUGGGCAUGGGGGCGAAAGACUAAUCGAACCUUCUAGUAGCUGGUUUCCGCCGAAGUUUCCCUCAGGAUAGCAGUGUUGAACUCAGUUUUAUGAGGUAAAGCGAAUGAUUAGGGACUCGGGGGCGCUAUUUAGCCUUCAUCCAUUCUCAAACUUUAAAUAUGUAAGAAGCUCUUGUUGCUUAAUUGAACGUGAGCAUUCGAAUGUAUCAACACUAGUGGGCCAUUUUUGGUAAGCAGAACUGGCGAUGCGGGAUGAACCGAACGCGAGGUUAAGGUGCCAGAGUAGACGCUCAUCAGACACCACAAAAGGUGUUAGUACAUCUUGACAGCAGGACGGUGGCCAUGGAAGUCGGAAUCCGCUAAGGACUGUGUAACAACUCACCUGCCGAAUGUACUAGCCCUGAAAAUGGAUGGCGCUCAAGCGUCUCACCCAUACCUCGCCCUCAGGGUAGAAACGAUGCCCUGAGGAGUAGGCGGACGUGGAGGUCAGUGACGAAGCCUAGGGCGUGAGCCCGGGUUGAACGGCCUCUAGUGCAGAUCUU